GACGAACGCUGGCGGCGUGCCUAAUACAUGCAAGUAGAACGCUGAAGAGAGGAGCUUGCUCUUCUUGGAUGAGUUGCGAACGGGUGAGUAACGCGUAGGUAACCUGCCUGGUAGCGGGGGAUAACUAUUGGAAACGAUAGCUAAUACCGCAUAAGAGUAGAUGUUGCAUGACAUUUGCUUAAAAGGUGCAAAUGCAUCACUACCAGAUGGACCUGCGUUGUAUUAGCUAGUUGGUGAGGUAACGGCUCACCAAGGCAACGAUACAUAGCCGACCUGAGAGGGUGAUCGGCCACACUGGGACUGAGACACGGCCCAGACUCCUACGGGAGGCAGCAGUAGGGAAUCUUCGGCAAUGGACGGAAGUCUGACCGAGCAACGCCGCGUGAGUGAAGAAGGUUUUCGGAUCGUAAAGCUCUGUUGUAAGAGAAGAACGAGUGUGAGAGUGGAAAGUUCACACUGUGACGGUAUCUUACCAGAAAGGGACGGCUAACUACGUGCCAGCAGCCGCGGUAAUACGUAGGUCCCGAGCGUUGUCCGGAUUUAUUGGGCGUAAAGCGAGCGCAGGCGGUUAGAUAAGUCUGAAGUUAAAGGCUGUGGCUUAACCAUAGUACGCUUUGGAAACUGUUUAACUUGAGUGCAAGAGGGGAGAGUGGAAUUCCAUGUGUAGCGGUGAAAUGCGUAGAUAUAUGGAGGAACACCGGUGGCGAAAGCGGCUCUCUGGCUUGUAACUGACGCUGAGGCUCGAAAGCGUGGGGAGCAAACAGG
rnacentral:rRNA from 1 species